AUUGAACGCUGGCGGCAGGCCUAACACAUGCAAGUCGAGCGAGCGGCGGACGGGUGAGUAAUGUAUGGGGACUGCCCGAUAGAGGGGGAUAACUACUGGAAACGGUAGCUAAUACCGCAUACUAUCGGAUAACCCAUAUGGGAUUAGCUAGUAGGUGAGGGAAUGGCGCACCUAGGCGACGAUCCCUAGCUGGUUUGAGAGGAUGAUCAGCCACACUGGGACUGGGACACGGCCCGGACUCCUACGGAGGCAGCAGUGGGGAAUAUUGCACAAGGGGGUCAAUCCUGAUGCAGCCAUGCCGCGUGUAGUAAGAAGUCCCUAGGGUUGUAAAGUACUUUCAGUCGGGAGGCGUUACCGAGAGAAGAAUCACCGGCUAACUCCGUGCCAGCAGCCGCGGUAAUAC
rnacentral:rRNA from 1 species